GUGCUUGCUGCGGCAGCACUUAUACUAAAAUUGGAACGAUACAGAGGAGAUUAGCACGGUUCCUGCGCAUGGAUGACGCGCGCAUGUACGAAGCGUUCCAUGUUUUU
rfam:Otolemur garnettii contig138003, whole genome shotgun sequence.